CCGGCGAGGGGAGUGAAAAAGAACCUGAAACCGUGUACGUACAAGCAGUGGGAGCACGCUUAGGCGUGUGACUGCGUACCUUUUGUAUAAUGGGUCAGCGACUUAUAUUCUGUAGCAAGGUUAACCGAAUAGGGGAGCCGAAGGGAAACCGAGUCUUAACUGGGCGUUAAGUUGCAGGGUAUAGACCCGAAACCCGGUGAUCUAGCCAUGGGCAGGUUGAAGGUUGGGUAACACUAACUGGAGGACCGAACCGACUAAUGUUGAAAAAUUAGCGGAUGACUUGUGGCUGGGGGUGAAAGGCCAAUCAAACCGGGAGAUAGCUGGUUCUCCCCGAAAGCUAUUUAGGUAGCGCCUCGUGAAUUCAUCUCCGGGGGUAGAGCACUGUUUCGGCAAGGGGGUCAUCCCGACUUACCAACCCGAUGCAAACUGCGAAUACCGGAGAAUGUUAUCACGGGAGACACACGGCGGGUGCUAACGUCCGUCGUGAAGAGGGAAACAACCCAGACCGCCAGCUAAGGUCCCAAAGUCAUGGUUAAGUGGGAAACGAUGUGGGAAGGCCCAGACAGCCAGGAUGUUGGCUUAGAAGCAGCCAUCAUUUAAAGAAAGCGUAAUAGCUCACUGGUCGAGUCGGCCUGCGCGGAAGAUGUAACGGGGCUAAACCAUGCACCGAAGCUGCGGCAGCGACGCUUAUGCGUUGUUGGGUAGGGGAGCGUUCUGUAAGCCUGUGAAGGUGUGCUGUGAGGCAUGCUGGAGGUAUCAGAAGUGCGAAUGCUGACAUAAGUAACGAUAAAGCGGGUGAAAAGCCCGCUCGCCGGAAGACCAAGGGUUCCUGUCCAACGUUAAUCGGGGCAGGGUGAGUCGACCCCUAAGGCGAGGCCGAAAGGCGUAGUCGAUGGGAAACAGGUUAAUAUUCCUGUACUUGGUGUUACUGCGAAGGGGGGACGGAGAAGGCUAUGUUGGCCGGGCGACGGUUGUCCCGGUUUAAG
rnacentral:rRNA from 1 species